rnacentral:lncRNA from 1 species
CUACAGAGCGACUCUCUGCUCAGCCUGAUGUAUAGCUAAGGCGUUAGUGACUGCUCUCCAAGGAUUCAAUAAUUUUUUAGCAGUCUUAUUUUCAUUAAUAACUUCAUCAAACAAUUUGUCCCCAAAUUUAUGCCACUCUGUUUGUUCAAGAACUGUAUCCGGAUUGAUAAAACAACCCUUUGUUACUCCAUAUGCUAAUAAUCCUGGUAAAUCCUUUUUGCAGCCUAUACCCUGCGUGCUCCGCUUUUCUAAAAAGCAUUUGAGCAAAUGAUACGCCGCUUGUCUCUCCAUACCUUUAUUUAUGCUGUUGCAGCCUUUGCGAGACCUCGUUCCCACGUCCCUGCGCGGUUCCGUUUCCCACGUUUCCCCGCAGAUCUCUUCCCACGCUCCCCACGGUGUCUUUUCCCCGUGUCUCACCGUGAGUCCUUUGUCCGGGUCGGUGCUUGGAGUUUCUCAGUGCUUCUCAGGUGUUCCGGCUUCUGUCAGGUCUGUGUCUUUCAGAGCCGUCCGUGGCUCUGCAGCGUCUCUCAGGGCUCUCUCCGUCCGGCAGGAGUCCCUCCGUGUGCCUCGGGUCUCCCGGCGCCGCUCCGGGCUCGGUGCCGCUCCGAUGUGUCGGUCCCGCGCCGCUCUGAUGUCCUGGCGCCACUGCUCUCCCGCGCCGCUGCGAUGCCCUGUUCAGGUCUCAGCCUGUUCGGGCGCCAUUUGUUAGGAAGCACGGCCGAAAGCACGGCAGACACCGGUUGAGUCAGAUCAUGCUGCUCCAUUUUAUUGCCCGAAUAGUCUAACUUUUAUAGUGAACUUAACAGGGGCGGACAGUGUUUCACACAAGAUUAUUGGUCAAAAGCACUCAGACAAACAACUAGAAGAAAACAACCCCACCUGCAAGAAAACAACCCCCCUUGUGAUUAGCACUCACGUAGAUCUUGUCCUUGAAGCCAGCUGCUGGUAACAAUAUUUUUCUGAAUUCCUCAAUUGGGCAAUGUGGGAAUCAUUGUCGUGGGAGCUUCUCAUAGUUAUUCUGGUAGCUUGGUUUGCUCAGCUUCAUUCAAAGAUUGAAGCCGAAAUUCCUUUAAGUGGUAUAUUCUUUAUUGCAGCACUGGAUGCACGGGGGAUCUCUCCACCUAUCGUGCAUACCCAAAGCGGAAAGCAGUCUUGAAUUUAUAGAAUCAAUCAAUAUUCUACAAGCGCCUAUACAUAUUCAUUACCUAUCCCCGCCUUCCCUUGCUUCUCAUGCUAAUCAGCCUUUUGGCACCUUGCGUCUGCGUAGAGCCUCCCAAGAAUUGUGGGCAGGGGUCUUUGGGAGGAAGACCCCGAGUCUUCCUCACAGUGUACUUUUCACCUUUGGUCAGGAAUCUGCUGAGUCGGCAUGUUUCUUAAUUGCAAGCGCUGGUUGUUGCUAAUUCUUCCAUUUGUUGUAUCUUUAUAAUGAAUUCCAAUGUCCAGUUUUGAGAUUUAUAGUCCUUACAUUUGUUUCUCUGUCCGUCUGCCGCUUCCUUAUCAUGAGUUCCAGUGUCUUGUUUCGAGAUAUACAGUCCUUGUCUGGCGAUUGUCCUUGCCUCCCCAAUGCCUCCCCAAUGCCUCCUUAAUCAAGCUACAGCAGGCCAUGAGAUUUUCUAAGGCCUACUCCUGGUUGCUUAAGGCAAGCUCAGAUCGAACAAUUGUUCCACGGACUCAUGUCCAGGCCCUGUAUGCCAAUUCCCAACAGGGGUCCACCCCCAUUUGGGGUGUCUCACCUUGAUACCUC